rnacentral:tRNA from 1 species
GCAUCGGUGGUUUAGUGGUAAAAUUAGCCGUUGCCAUCUAGCUGUUCAAUCCAAAGAACAGUAAGACAGUUUCGGCUAGCCCCGGGUUCGAUUCCCGGCCGAUGCA